GCUUAACACAUGCAAGUCGAGCGAGAAUCGUUUUGCUGAAGGCUUCGGUCUGACGCAGAAUGAGGAAAGCGGCGAACGGGUGAGUAACGCGUGGGCAACCUGGCCUUAAGAAAAGGAUAGCCCCCGGAAACGGGGAGUAAUACUUUAUGAGAAUGAAAGAGGGCAUCCUACUUUCAUUCAAAGCGCAAGCGCUUAAGGAUGGGCCCGCGUAUCAUUAGCUAGUUGGUGAGAUAACAGCCCACCAAGGCAACGAUGAUUAGCCGGUCUGAGAGGGCGAACGGCCACAUUGGAACUGAGAGACGGUCCAAACUCCUACGGGAGGCAGCAGUGGGGAAUAUUGCGCAAUGGAGAAGAACUCUGACGCAGCAAUACCGCGUGAGCGAAGAAGGUCUUCGGAUCGUAAAGCUCUGUUAUCAGGGAAGAAGAAAAUGACGGUACCUGAUGAGCAAGUCCGGGCUAACUACGUGCCAGCAGCCGCAGUAA
rnacentral:rRNA from 1 species